UACGUAGGGGGCAAGCGUUGUUCGGAAUUACUGGGCGUAAAGCGCACGUAGGCGGAUAUUUAAGUCAGGGGUGAAAUCCCAGAGCUCAACUCUGGAACUGCCUUUGAUACUGGGUAUCUUGAGUAUGGAAGAGGUAAGUGGAAUUCCGAGUGUAGAGGUGAAAUUCGUAGAUAUUCGGAGGAACACCAGUGGCGAAGGCGGCUUACUGGUCCAUUACUGACGCUGAGGUGCGAAAGCGUGGGGAGCAAACAGG
rnacentral:rRNA from 1 species